rnacentral:lncRNA from 1 species
CCUUAAGAAUUUCAAGAAGAGGGGUAAUCCACUCUCUCCAAGAAGAAUAAGACUCCAAUAUUGUAACAGAAGAAGUAUCAGUUUAGAGGAGGGUAAUCCGCAACCUCUAAAAAAUGCUAGUAUACCUUCAAGUAAAGGGAUAAUCCACACUCUACUAAGAAAGAACUAGCUCUGAUAUCUCAAGUUAGUGUAGUCUUGACAAACUGUCACGGAUACAAAAUACAGACUUGAAAUCUAACAAGAAGUUCAAGAAGAAGUGGCAGAACUAGAUUAAACAGAUGAGUACAAGAACAACACCAGAAAGGUGAGCUAGAACUCCAAGAGAUGUG